UACGUAGGGCGCAAGCGUUGUCCGGAAUUAUUGGGCGUAAAGAGCUCGUAGGCGGCCUGUCGCGUCCGCUGUGAAAUCCCCGGGGCUUAACCCCGGGCGUGCAGUGGAUACGGGCUGGCUAGAGGCAGGCAGGGGAGAACGGAAUUCCCGGUGUAGCGGUGAAAUGCGCAGAUAUCGGGGAAGGAACACCCGGUGGCGAAGGCGGUCUCUGG
rnacentral:rRNA from 1 species